GAUCAAGCUACAAAGAGCAUACGGAGGAUGCCUUGGUACAUGGCGCCGAAGAAGGACGUGACAAGCUGCGAAAAGCUGCGGAGAGGAGCAAAUAUCCUGCGACCCGCAGAUAUCCGAAUGAGGGAACUCAGCAUAUAGAAAUAUAUGUUAUCGUUAACUGAAUCCAUAGGUUAACGAGGGGAACCCGGGGAACUGAAACAUCUUAGUACCCGGAGGAAAAGAAAGUAAAAACGAUUCCGCGAGUAGUGGCGAGCGAAAACGGA
rnacentral:rRNA from 1 species